rnacentral:ncRNA from 2 species
CUUCCGUUAAUAUUUCCGGGUAACCCCAAGCCAUUACUUGGGGGGAUAAUAGGGAACCAGGUGCAAGUCCUGGACGGUCCGGCCACUGUAAAUAGAGAGCCUCUUCCGAAAACCACUGUCCGGCAUUUAGUUGGGAUGGGAAGGUGGAAUGCAGGCAAUGACCUAUGAGUCAGGAAACCUGCCUGGAAAAUGAACAUUAC